rnacentral:rRNA from 1 species
AACUGGAGGACCGAACCCACUAACGUUGAAAAGUUAGGGGAUGACCUGUGGUUAGGAGUGAAAGGCUAAUCAAACCGGGAGAUAGCUGGUUCUCCCCGAAAUCUAUUUAGGUAGAGCCUCGGACGAAUACUUACGGGGGUAGAGCACUGUUAAGGCUAGGGGGUCAUCCCGACUUACCAACCCUUUGCAAACUCCGAAUACCGUAAAGUACUAUCCGGGAGACACACGGCGGGUGCUAACGUCCGUCGUGAAGAGGGAAACAACCCAGACCGCCAGCUAAGGUCCCAAAGUCAUAGUUAAGUGGGAAACGAUGUGGAAAGGCCCAGACAGCCAGGAGGUUGGCUUAGAAGCAGCCAUCCUUUAAAGAAAGCGUAAUAGCUCACUGGUCGAGUCGGUCUGCGCGGAAGAUGUAACGGGGCUAAACUAUGCACCGAAGCUGCGGAUUCAAAAUUUAUUUUGAGUGGUAGGGGAGCGUUCU